AUUAUUACUGUAAAAUGAGCAAAUGCUUACUGUAGAACUUGUAUACAGCAUGUUGCUGUAGAUCUGCAAAGCAUCAUGGUCUUUUUUCAACGGCGGGUAAAUUCUACAGUAAAAAUAUUUUUCCUGUGAAUCACAAUACAGCAAUUUCUAAAGGAUUUUUUUCUUCAGCCAAGGAAAGCUACGAGAUUCCACACUUUCAUCUGAAUUUUUACUUCAGAAAGGGUUGAUGACGUAUGCGAGUGCGACCUCCGCACGCAGGCUGAAACCAGUCUCUCGAGCUGAAAGAAAACGCAGCUGAGGAGAUAUGAGGAAACUUCCACCUACAGUAAGCAGAUGCUGAGGCCCAGAUUUCCAUGCUAAGCACUCCAAGGCUCAUCAUGCUCGGAGAGUCCAAUCUGAGGGCAAAAAAUGGAUGCUUUCCAUCGAGUGCUGAGUUCUCCUCCAAUUGAGUGACGGUUGUGAUUUCACUUCUGCUCUAGCCUUUUUGCGUCAUACUAUGUAUGAGGCAGCCACUACAUUGGGAUUUAUCCAGAGGUAAGCACUUAUUUGUUUUUUUAUAUAGUUUUGACUAAGAAUGGGAACAAAUAUUUGAGUACUCAUUCUUUAACCAACUACCCGAUUAGUAAAAUACUUCUUAAAGUGUUUUUUUUUUAAAUGAACUGUUGUGCUAUUGUUAAAUAUCAAACGUUUAAUUUAACUCGCCAUGCAAAAGGUAGAAAAGCAGCACAGCUAGUCUAAUACAGUGGCAGCCGGUGACUUCUUUUUUCGAGGGCGUUUGUCACAACAUGUAUGUAGCCCAUCAUGUGUGUGGUUCGUCAUUUCAAAAUAUGUGUUUGGCGCGUCGAGUGAAACAAUACUUUUCCAUUCACAAAUUAACAAAUAUUUACCAUAAAUUUCACUGUUGUAUCACUAACUGUAAACUGUAAACUCCACAAACCACCAACAGAGCAUAUAAAAAAAUUAAAAUUGUUUAUUUAAAAGUAAAUCACU